GCUGUGCCAUGAACCCUUGUCUUCACGAUGGCGAAUGCAUCGCAGACAACACCAGCCAUGGCUACUACUGCAGGUGCCCGCCUUCCUGGCAAGGGGAUGAUUGCAGUGUGGAUGUGAAUGAAUGCCUGUCGAACCCCUGCCCAUCCAUUGCCACAUGCAACAAUACUCAGGGAUCCUUUAUCUGCAAAUGCCCGGUUGGGUACCAGCUGGAAAAAGGGAUAUGCAACUUGGGUAAGAGACUUAGUCUGUUUCUGACUUUAUUCUGUACCACAAUAUAUUUUACAAGGUAACGUUUGUUAUUUUUCUUCCCAAUCAAAAUCAGUAUUUGUCCAAGGUAUAAACUUAAGGAAUAUAGAAAAAAGUGGAAGCUAUUGUCCAUUAUUCUAAUACUUGGAGAUACACACCCUACUUUGCAUUAUG
rnacentral:sRNA from 1 species